rfam:Triticum aestivum genome assembly, contig: Triticum_aestivum_CS42_TGACv1_scaffold_211838_3AS
UUACUACUCCCUUCGUUCCGAAUUACUUGUCCCAAGUAUGGAUGUAUCUAUAUGUAUUUUAGUUCUAGAUACAUCCAUUUCUGCGACGAGUAAUUUGGAACGGAGGGAGUAAUAA